GAUGAGAACGUAGCGAAAUGCGAUAAUUAAUGUGAAUUGCAGAAUUUAGUGAAUCAUCGAAUCUUUGAACGCACAUUGCGCCCCUUGGUAUUCCGGGGGGCAUGCCUGUUCGAGCGUCAUUUCAACCCUCAAGCUCUACUUGGUCUUGGGCCGCGCCGGCAACGGCGGGCCUCAAAAACAGUGGCGGCGCCAUCUGGUCCCUCAGCGUAGUAAUUCUUCUCGCUGCUGGGCCCCGGUGGCCGCUUGCCAGCAACCCCAAACUUUCUAUGGUUGACCUCGGAUCAGGUAGGGAUACCCGCUGAACUUAAGCAUAUCAAUAAGCGGAGGA
rnacentral:misc_RNA from 1 species